rnacentral:rRNA from 1 species
UACAGAGGGUGCAAGCGUUAAUCGGAUUUACUGGGCGUAAAGGGUGCGUAGGUGGUCGUGUAAGUCUGGUGUGAAAUCCCGGGGCUCAACCUCGGAAUUGCAUUAGAUACUGCGAGACUAGAGUUCGGUAGAGGGCGGCGGAAUUCCCGGUGUAGCGGUGAAAUGCGUAGAUAUCGGGAGGAACAUCAAUGGCGAAGGCAGCCGCCUGGGCCUGAACUGACACUGAGGCACGAAAGCGUGGGUAGCAAACAGG